GUCUACGGCCAUGCUACUCUGAACAAGCCUGAUCCCGUCUGAUCUCAGAAGCUAAGCAGGGUCAGGCCUAGUCAGUACUUGGAUGGGAGACCACCUAGCAAGACCAGGUGCUGUAGGCA
rfam:Pteropus alecto contig88780, whole genome shotgun sequence.